rnacentral:rRNA from 1 species
GACGAACGCUGGCGGCGUGCUUAACACAUGCAAGUCGAACGGAAAGGCCCUGCUUUUGUGGGGUGCUCGAGUGGCGAACGGGUGAGUAACACGUGAGUAACCUGCCCUUGACUUUGGGAUAACUUCAGGAAACUGGGGCUAAUACCGGAUAGGAGCUCCUGCUGCAUGGUGGGGGUUGGAAAGUUUCGGCGGUUGGGGAUGGACUCGCGGCUUAUCAGCUUGUUGGUGGGGUAGUGGCUUACCAAGGCUUUGACGGGUAGCCGGCCUGAGAGGGUGACCGGCCACAUUGGGACUGAGAGACGGCCCAGACUCCUAAGGGAGGCAGCAGUGGGGAAUAUUGCACAAUGGGCGGAAGCCUGAUGCAGCAACGCCGCGUGCGGGAUGACGGCCUUCGGGUUGUAAACCGCUUUCGCCUGUGACGAAGCGUGAGUGACGGUAAUGGGUAAAGAAGCACCGGCUAAAUAAGUG